AGAUGGAGAAGUUUCGCUUACACCAGUAUUGCAGAUCGUAACGUCAGAUGUCUGUAAUAAUACUUUGUUUUUAGCAUUGUACAUUUGACAGUUAUGGUUAACUAGGAUUACCUUUCCUCUAGGACUUUAAAGAUUUUAUCAGCUAGUUCAAAAAGAAAAACGGUAAUGUAGCAACUACUUGCCUUACAUAUUUGUUAAUAUAUAUCUCCCAGAUAUUAUAGGGUAGGCAAAUUUAUUGAAUGCACGUUCAAGUUGUCUAAAGCUAAGUCAAGCAAUUACGUUUUUCAAAAUUGAAAGAAGAAACAUAAUUAUUGUAAGGUUAAGUGAACAAGCAAGUAGACUUAUUAACCUAUGCAAAUAUUGCUUUUACUUAAGAGGAA